UCCCCCUCUUAAAUUGACAGUGAAACCCUUAAAUUUCAAUUCUAGGGCUUCUUUACUUCGAAACAGGUGCAGAUGUAGCUGUGAUAGAGUUCUAGAUAUCUUCUCGUCUCAAAGGACGGCAAGACCUUAGGAAGAUGAAGUGACUUAAAGAGUCUCCAAAUUACAGUCUUAAUCUACGACAAUGUCUUUUUUCCUUUUUUCUUGUUUGCUCCUUUUCUUUGGAUCGGCUCUUCAAUGUGGUUACUUUUCCUGUAUUUGGCCUUUGCUCUAUUACUCAUUUCUCCAUAAUUCUAGGGCUUCAAAGGAGUAUCCAAUUUGAUCUAAGCUCUCGUCUACAGUGGAUAAUCCUCAAUAAGCCGUGAAAAGGUUCUUUGUUGAUCUGAUGAUGGUAAAUGGAGUAUUUGAACCUGAUAUAGGGAGGUCUAUGAAGUAGUUGCUCAACUCAUUGUCAAGGCUAUAAUGGGAGUUAUAAACGAUAUGGAUGAUAUUAUGCUCGCAAUGAAGUGAAUACAUCGCUAAAUGUUCGUGUAUGGUUAUCAAUGUACCUGUGUGAUGGUAGGUAUGUAAAGCCUUGUAUUCGUGCAGAUGAUAGUCGUUAUGGAGAAAAUUCAAAUAGCCUUCAAAAGCAUACACAAUUCAAGUUAGUUUGCCUUCAAUUUAUUGUCUGAAAUUCCUAUAGUUAAUAGCUUAGUACUGUUGAAGCCCUAUAUGUGAUUAUUGUACUUUCGACUUAGUUCAUCUAGAUGCCUUUCUUGUUUGAAAUGAAACUCAGGCAAUUUUGGAGCUUGAUGCCAGAAAUUUGAGGACUUGGUCAUCCGUAACUUGUCGGCAUCAGGUUUGCAGCCAAGAUCUACUUUCUUUGUUUUUCCUUUUCUUGUUCCUACAUUAUGUAUUCCAGAAUAACUUAUGUGAUAACUGUAGCAAUCUGAUAAGUAAUAAGACUGUGAGGUUAUGUUGCUCGACCUCUUCAAAAUGGUCAACGGGUGCGUGUUUGGAUUCUACAAAAGUGGUAUUUUUGGAGAAUCCAACAUAGGUGCGGUACUAAAACUGAAGAAUCCGCACAACUUAUCUGUGAAGCCUACGAAUAACAAAAACUUGCAAUAUCUUCUCGUAUUUAUGCUUUGAAGAUUGGGAGAUAGGGCCAUGAUUUCUAAUCUUUUGAUUUUUGUGUUGUGACCAGAAUGCUGGAUGUGUCUUAUCCGCUUGCUAAAAGAUACAAGUUCAAUUAUAAUCAACUUGAUCAGUCAACUACAUUCAUAUAUUUCACUUGCAUCAUCUUCAACAUAAUUGAUAAGUCCUCAAGCAUUGGCGGAACUUGGAGUGAGAAAUCUUAGAUUUCACAAUGGAAGUCUUCUUUUGCAAAUGGCUAUGGAGAAUGAAUGAUGGAAAAGAGACUCCGCCGAAGAAUGUUACUGUUAAUAAAUAUGGUAGUCGACUUUAAAAUUACAAAUCUAAUUCUUCAUGAAUACGACAUGCUUUCUGAAUACCUUUGGUUACAUGUGUUCAAAGCUUUCUGACUCCCUGGGAGCAGCCAUCACAAGAAUUUGGGAAGUCAUUUUGAGGUACAACUAUCCAGGUUUUCUUGAGAUGUAUUUUAUUUUAAUAACCAAAAAAUCCCAAAGGAUCAGUAUACAUAGUUCAAAACUCAAAAGAUAAUGGGUUUGCUAUCUACUCUUUUCCCCUUACAUUCUAGGCUUUUGUUUGUGGCAAGUUUUGAACCCGUGAUGUGUGCCUUACUAACACAUCACAUAUUGUGCUCUUACUAUUAGAUCAAAGCCCUGGGUUUGAUGUAAUGUUCUCUUUAUGUCUAAUACCAAUUAUCAAAAUUAGCUCUUUAGAAGUGUAACUUUGUAACAUUCUUACUACUUUGUUGAAAGUUUAGUAGUCUACUACCUCUUUUAUUGCUUUAUUGUCUAUAUAUUUGCUUGGGAAAGCUAUAUUUCAUUAGCAGGAUUGAAAAUCUAUACUGGAAGAUUUAUAGUAGUACUUUGUUGUACAAUUGACUUGGUUCAGUUGAUUGAAACUUUCUAGAAACCAAAUUGAAGUUCGUUUCUGUUAGACAAAAUUGUAACCAUGAAACAACAGCAUAGUUUGGUUAUUUUUAAUUUUAACCAAGUCACUGUGCUCCUUGAAACCUUUUUCCUGUUGAAGUAUAAACGGAGUUAACAAAAAGUGUUUGUACUUUGUACAUUGUAUUGUAACCUGUGCCACACCUUUCUUUGCUUCUUUUUAACCUCAUAUGUCCUUUAUGCUUCUUGACAAAAAAAACCUCCACUCAUUGUAAUUUAGUUAAACUUGAAUCGAUAAAUCAUGGAAGCUUACCUUUGUCUCUCUUUUACUUCAGUAUCUUACUCUACACUAUGUUUCGAAUGUAAUGCUUGGUUUUCCCAUCCUUUAGAGAUGUCCAAAUAAAGUAUGUACUUUUGCUACUUUGCAAGCUAUAAAAAAGAUGACAGAAAGACUAAAUAUACAUGCAAUCACCCCUGAAACACCUCACUGGAUAUGCAAGGUCCAAGUUGUAGACAUGAGUAGACUAGGAGAAGGUAUAAAACGAAAGAUAAAUUAUUUGAACAUGAUUUUUCAAGAUGAACAAGUAACUUCUUACUUUUAAAAAUCAAAUCAUCUAUUUACAUCCCUUACUUCUACCUCUUAUAUUACUACUAUUGAAAAAAUUAGCUUCAGGACAAUCAAGUAAAAGUAACUGUUUACGGUGAUGAUAUCCCCCUUUAUCAAGAUAUGUUUUAGUUGUUUUAUACAUAUUUGAUAAUGGGUACAUGCAUAUAACAACCAACUCUGAGAUAUGAAACAACAUUGCAUACAUUCGACUGGAUUAUUGAUAAAAAGACCAUAGCCAAUCCAACUGAUAAAAAUGACUCAGAUGAAAUAGAGUUACCGCCACCUCGAAUGGUCAAUGCCACAUCAUUCCAAGAUAUCAACAAUCAAGCCUCCCGAGCUUCAAAAGAACAACUUCAAAAAGCAGGAUACAGUAUACUCAUUUCAUUCUUUCUAUCAUUAAAGAUCUACUUCAACACAACUAAUAUAUAACUUUUUCCCAACAGAUGUGUUAGCAAUAGUUGUCAGCUGUUUUGCUCCAAAAUAUGUUACCAACAUUCAAAAAAGAUUGCAGGAACUCCUUAUUAUUGAUACCGACAAACAGGCUUACACAUUCACGUUAUGGGAAAAAGCUCCAUUGAAGAAGGCAACAAGCUCCUCACACAGUUUUAACAACAUCCAAUCAUUUGUUUCAGGCGUGUUGGACUAUCCAAGUACAAUGGUAAACUAACGAACAUACCAUAAUUAAUUUACUUAAUAUCACCUUUAGCUUGCUUCUAUAACAUCAUUGUUAUUAUAAUUAUUAUAGGUAUAUCGUUGACCAUAAAAUUUAACACAACGAUACAAAUUGAUCCACCAUAUUUAGAAUGCCUUCAAUUGCACUCAUGGUAUCAACAUACUUUACUCUACUUUGUACUAAUUUGUACAUUAUUAUUGAUAUGCUAAAAUCCAUCAAACACCAACUGAAACAGGGUUGUAGAAAAUGUUGAAAUGCUCAACUCUUUUCCUAUGAGAAACACAUUCCAAUCUGGAUCUCUGGUCUCUGCUCCAGUAGAUGAAGAAAUAGUGUCAAUUGCUGACUCCACUUGGGUAGUAAUACUAUACACACAUACAUCCAUAAUAUCAAUAACAUAUUUCUCUUUAUUAACUAAAGUACUAAUAUAUACUAUUUUAGGUGCCGAUUCGAUAUGAAUCUGAAAGAUGACACUGACUCAAUCGUUGGAAGUAUUAGUGGAAAAGAAGGAGAAAGAUUAUUGUCUCUUACAAUAGAACAGAUCUACGAGCUUGCUUCAACUAAGGUAAAAAAAUUUAACCAUCAAAUAUACACAUCAACAUAAUUAUUCAACAAACAUAAAAACUAAAUAUUGUUUUGCACAGAAUGAGUCCCAAUCAAUGCAACAUGCUGAAAUUAGAUAGAAUCAAAAUCUGUUCAGAAUUCAAGUGUAAAAAGUAGCUUCCCGCACUGAUCAUACAAUUUCUAGGAAAGUCUACAUUUUAGCCUGUACUGAAAAAGGAAAAAUCAUGCCCUCUCUUCCCACACCAUCCACAUUUCAUAUCAAAGAAGAAAGCAAGAAACAAAAAAAAGAUUCUACUUCUCCUUCUGAACAAGCCGAACAACAAAGUGAACGCCAGAAUAUGCUCAAGAUGAAAUAAAAAAUAGAGCCAUCAGCUCCAAUGCAAACCAAAUAAAUGUUGCCAACAAACUUCUUUCAUAUUCUUUCCAUCAAUAUUUAUAAUGUCUUCAAUAACAUUACUAUAAUAUUUUCUCACUAACUAUAUUACUCCCUCUUUCAUUGUUGUUAAAUACAUUUGUAGGUUCAUAAACUUUCCUUUUGUAGUUACUUUUGGAUUUUGUGGAACAAAGGAUUUUAUAGAUUUUGUCAAAUAUUGUUCUUCCUUGUUCAUUCUGCUGUAAAGACUUUUGGUGAAAAGAACUACUAGCUACUUGCCUCUAUCAUCUACCCAACGGCCCAAUAGGUCAGUCAUCUCCUUAAUAUACAUUUUAACACAUUUCCUUCCUUAAUUCAUUGUUAUUCCAUAUUGAAAAAAUACAAAUUACUGAACUAGAUUUUUUUUCAAUGAAUUUUCUUCUGCAAACACCUACCUAACCCCUUGAGCAAUAUGAAUUGAUACAUGUUCAGCGUGGAACUACCAUAGUCCUCACUAGCACCAAGUAAUAUCUUGUCUUCAAUUUACUUUUCUUUGUGCACAUAUAUUUGUUGUUGAGUAUUAGUUUUGUAAUUCGUAAAAUAUCAGCAGGCAAGUGGUUUGGCUAAGUAAUACAAAUAGGAGUAAAGAUCAUGUUGUUAAUUUUCUAUCGGUUUCACUUCAUGUUGUUUCUACAAACCCUAAAGCUUAUCCCAAUCCUUGUUUAUAUGCUCAGGUACAAUCUCUAUGUUUCAAAUUUAAAUAUUUUUUUUCAUACCUUAACUUUUUUGGUUUUACUUUAAUAAGCAACAGUAGAAGACAAAACUGAAAGUUAAGUUGUGUGCUUUGUAAUAUCGAAGGCUUGUAAUCUAAGAAGUACCACAUAAAUUAGGACACAGGAAGUACUUAUUGUCUUAGGGUGUUUGAUAGUUUGAUUCCGUUGGGGAUUUAUAUGAAUCGGGUUUUGUAUUUGUCUAUCCCUAUUAGUAAAUAGAUUGAAAGCUAAUAACAAAAAACAACAUACCAAUGUGAUCCAAAAAGUGGAAUAUAGGAAGGAUGAUGUGUAUGCACCCCUACCUUGUGUGAGAUAGAUAGAUUGUUUCUAAUAGAUAUUCCUUUAGAAAAAGGCCAAACCCAUCGCCAGGCCCCUUAAGUACGCGCGAUCUUUUACUUAGGCACCUCAAGUGGACGUCGCUCACUUUGGGCACCUCAAGUAGCCAUAAAGUAUGUCAUUUUGACACCUUUUGCUGAGUUGGCAAGGUGCGUGUAUUACACACCUCUAUGAAGGCGCGUGAAAGCCUUUUUUUGGCUGAUGUGGCGCCCAAUUU